rnacentral:rRNA from 1 species
CGCUGGCGGCGUGCCUAAUACAUGCAAGUCGAGCGAAUGGAUUAAGAGCUUGCUCUUAUGAAGUUAGCGGCGGACGGGUGAGUAACACGUGGGUAACCUAGCCCAUAAGACUGGGAUAACUCCGGGAAACCGGGGCUAAUACCGGAUAACAUUUUGAACCGCAUGGUUCGAAAUUGAAAGGCGGCUUCGGCUGUCACUUAUGGAUGGACCCGCGUCGCAUUAGCUAGUUGGUGAGGUAACGGCUCACCAAGGCAACGAUGCGUAGCCGACCUGAGAGGGUGAUCGGCCACACUGGGACUGAGACACGGCCCAGACUCCUACGGGAGGCAGCAGUAGGGAAUCUUCCGCAAUGGACGAAAGUCUGACGGAGCAACGCCGCGUGAGUGAUGAAGGCUUUCGGGUCGUAAAACUCUGUUGUUAGGGAAGAACAAGUGCUAGUUGAAUAAGCUGGCACCUUGACGGUACCUAACCAGAAAGCCACGGC